AGAAUCAACGCUGGCGGCGUGCCUAACACAUGCAAGUCGAACGAGAAAGUGGAGCAAUCCAUGAGUAAAGUGGCGCACGGGUGAGUAACACGUGACUAACCUACCCUUGAGUGGGGGAUAACCUAGAGAAAUCUGGGCUAAUACCGCAUAAUACCUUCGGGUCAAAGGAGCAAUUCGCUUAAGGAGGGGGUCGCGGCCGAUUAGUUAGUUGGCGGGGUAAUGGCCCACCAAGACUAUGAUCGGUAUCCGGCCUGAGAGGGCGCACGGACACACUGGAACUGAAACACGGUCCAGACUCCUACGGGAGGCAGCAGUGGGGAAUUUUGCGCAAUGGGGGAAACCCUGACGCAGCAACGCCGCGUGGAGGAUGAAGUCCCUUGGGACGUAAACUCCUUUCGAUCGGGACGAUAAUGACGGUACCGAGAGAAGAGCCCCGGCUAACUUCGCGCCAGCAGCCGC
rnacentral:rRNA from 1 species